AAGAUUUGAGAAUAUUGAAACAUAUUGAUGAAUCUUAUAAAAUUUUGAAGCAUAAACUGCUUUUUAAGAACCAUUCAUUAAAAGUAUUCCUAUUGGGUCAUACAGAGCAGUUCUGCUGCUAAUGACAUCAUCAAUUAUUAUUUCACAUGAGAAAUACUUUUUGUAGUUUGGCAUUUAAAUCUGAAAGUAUUGAUGAUGUCUAUCCAGGAAGUUCAGACUAAUUUAACAGAAUUAUGGAUGUCUCUGCUAUUUAUUAUUUUAGAUACUUGGGGGAUCCAUUGUGUAUUAUUUGUAUUUAUGAAAUUCUUUAAUCUUUUGGGAGCAUAACAGAGCUGGGUUACACUUCUGUCUUAGUUCAUUCAGGCUGCGUUAACAAAAUACCAUAAACUGUUCAGCCUACAAACAAGAGAAACUUAUUUCUUAUGGUCUGAAAGCUGCAAAGUCCAAGAUCUAGGCACUGACAAAUUCAUUGCCUGGAGAGGGCACACUUCCUAGUUCAUAGAUGUGUCCUCCCCUGACAGAUGGAAUACAUAGUGCUCUAUGGCCUUCUUCAAGGGCAUUAAACCUGUAAACCUGGUAAUGAGGGCAGAACCUCAUGACAGGGUCGGCAUCCCAUAUGGGCACCAGUUCUAGUCCCAGCUGUUCCACUUCUUCUCUUUUUUUUUUGACAGGCAGAGUGGACAGUGAGAGAGAGAGAGACAGAGAGAAAGGUCUUCCUUUGCCGUUGCUUCACCCUCCAAUGGCCGCCGCAGCCGGCACGCUGCGCCUGGCGCACCACGCUAAUCCAAUGGCAGGAGCCAGGUGCUUCUCCUGGUCUCCCAUGGGGUGCAGGGCCCAAGCACUUGGGCCUCUCUCCACUGCACUCCCUGGCCACAGCAGAGAGCUGGCCUGGAAGAGGGGCAACCGGGACAGAAUCCGGUGCCCUGACCGGGACUAGAACCUGGUGUGCUGGCGCCGCAAGGCGGAGGAUUAGCCUAGUGAGCCACGGCGCUGGCCUGCUCCACUUCUGAUCUAGCUCUCUGCUAUGGCCUGGGAAAGCAGUGGAAGAUGGCCCAUGUCCUUGGGCCCCUGCACCCACAUGGGAGAACCAGAAGAAGUUCCUGGCUCCUGGCUUCAGAUCAGCGCAGCUCCGUCAGUUGUAGCCAUCUGGGCACUGAACCAAUGGAUGGAAGACCUCUCUCUCUCUCUCUGCCUCUGCCUCUCUGUAAUUCUGCCUUUCAAAUAACAUGUUGGCCUCUCAAAGUGCUGGACUUGUGCUGGACACAUCAGCCCAUGGACACUGACUGGGAAGAAUGAUUAUCAAAUCUACCAGUUUAUGUAUUAAAUUAAUAAUUUGAACUCUCCUUGAGAGACUAAUGGGGAAAGCUGCAGUUACCUGAAUACCUAGAAGAACAUCUAGGAUCACAUACAUGCAUGAACACACACACACAUUUGUAUACAGGUACAGGAAAAAACAGACAUAGGUGGUCUCAACUGUUAAUAUUUGAUUUUUACCACUGGAAUUAGAUAUAUUAAAAUGAAAGUAAGUGGAAUUAAAAUUUCCAAAUCCUCUGGGGAAAAUUCAUUUAUAACAAUGAAAACAGAUAUUCAGAAAAGAUCUAGAAGAUGACCCCUGAACCUAAAAAGCAAAACAAAAUGAAGCAAAAAUUGUCCUUAUUCUCAACAAAAUCCUUUGAAUCAGGUGCUUUUAUCAAACAAACCAUGUAUAACUAAGUAUUUCAGUGUCUCAGGAUUCAGAAAACAUACAUAUUUUUAAAAAUGCCUCUAAUUUACUGAUCUUAUGGCUCAGUUGUUUAUUUGUGUGUGUGUGUGUGUGUGUGCGUGUUUCUGCAUUUUGCUACCACUUAAUUCUGUAGAUAAGUUCCAUAGAAACAUAAAAUAUGUUCACUUAGUUCAUAAAUUUCUUGAAGCAUGGUGUCUAACUAACUCUAUCCUUGGCAGAAAUAAUUUCCCGUUUUAAAAGAAACUAACUUAAAAUGUCUUAUAAGGAAGGUUCACACGGCUUCUUGGAAAUCAAGCCGUUCUUACAAAACAUUUUGAUGUGUUUAGUACAGAGGAAUUAGGAACAUAUGGAUUACAUUUUCCUUAAAAUGCACAUGGUUUUAAAAAUUAAGGGGUAAUGUUCUUGGCAAAAUAGGUUUUGCCAAACCCAAACUGUUUAAAAAAUUGUUCAAGAUGUUCAGUAAGGCCAAAAGGCCCCAGGCUUCCACAGUCCUAAUAAUAGAAUCAAUCAGGAAAACCAGAAUGAAGUCACUAAACUCAUUUUAACAGUCUCUUGAAAUAACCAACCAAAAUAAAUCUCCGCGUAGUAACAAUCACAAGCAAUUAGAAUAUAAUAACUUUUAUGUUCAUACUGAAUAAAAACCCCAAGCUAGUAGUUAAAAUCAUUCUAGGAAUUCUGGAAAGUUGGCAGUGCAUUUUGUUUGACUGAAAUAAUUGAUUACAUCUACGAAAAUGACAGAGAGACCAGAAGGGAUUGCACAGAUAAAGUACUUACCAGGAACAAUUCAAAAGUUUUACCGUGGUUUCUCAUGGAAGGAGGUGGGUGUGUUUGAAACCUAGACAAAGAAGACAGAGGCAGAGGCGAUGAUCACAAACAUUUUGCUAACCUGGUAUUGAGACCACUUGUCUUUUCUGGAAGAGAGUCUGUUAAAUCACUUAGUAAUGUUCCCACAAUGAUGAGAUGGGACUAUCAGGAACGUCAGACCAGAGACUGUAUGUUUAUGGCAAGGAUCAAUUGAGUCUAAGAUCAGCUGUCAGAAAGCAAACCCAGGAAGAAUCCUAUUUCUGUUUUCAGUAUUUGAUUCUCAAAACCUACUUAUUUUGAAAUGCCAUCAUGGUUUUGCACAUAGUAGCGAUCUGAUAAAAAUUUAUUGAUUAGAUCAUUUUUUUUCAUAUGAACACAUCUUCAUAUUCUUUCUUAAGGUCUUCAUUUUUCUAUUUAUUUAUUUGAAAAGUAGAAAAAAAGGAGAAUAAAAGAGAACUCCCAUUCACUCUCCAAAUGCCCCAAGCCAAAGCCAGGAGCCAGGAACUCCAUCUGUGUCUCUCACAUGGGUGGCAGGGACCCAAGUACUUGGGCUGUCAUCCAUUGCUUUCCCAGGUGCAUUAGCAGGGAGCUGGAUUGGAAGCUGGAAAGCUGGGAUUCCAACCAGCACACUGAUACAAGAUGCUGGCCUAAAAAGUGAUGGUUUAAGCUGUUCCUCCACAAUGUCGACCUGUUAUUUUUCUCUUCUUGGCUUGUCUCUGGGCAUUCUGAAUAAACUGUUAGAGUUUCUUAUGCUGGUUGAUUCCUUGAUGUUUUAAGAAAAAUUGCUGCAGGGCCUUUUUUUUUUUCUGAUUUAGACUUUAUAUAAUCAUUUACAGCUACAGUGGUCGAACGUUAUGUUUACUACUUGAACCCAUAGCAGAAGGGAUUUCGAAUCCUUCCAGUUUCCUCCUCUCCCCUCCAAAUUCAUGUCAUUCUUUUCUGCUGAAUGGAGUAUUAAUUACUGGACAGCUUGGGAACCAGGCAGGUCCUGUCAGCAGACUUUAACAUGGGCUGUAGAGUUUGUACAGAGCAAAGCACUCAUUGAAAGACUCCGUGUUGCCCAUCCUGAUCCUGCUGACUCCCUAACAAAUGACAUGUUUUGAAAGGAGAUGGGGAUAAUGUGUUUUAAGUCACAGAGGAGGGUUUUGAGGUAUAUCUUGGUUGUGCAUCAGGGGCUGUGGUUGCAAGCAUCAUCGGUGUAUUAAGGGUGGGAUGUGUUACACUAAUCUGCAUCCAGAUCUGGGUCUUCAGGGAGUUGCAUGAGUGCAUGUGAGUGUGUGAAGUUGGCUUUAUCAGAAUUCCUAGAUCAGUGGUGUAGACGAAGGAGAUUAUUUCAAAGGCACUACGAGGGUAUUAAGGCUAUGAAUUAGUUACUAAAAGAUUCAACUGGAGUGAUACAGUUCAGCUGACUAAAAAUUUCAAAUGGGAGUCAGCUUUCCUAUAGUAAAGGAAAAAUAUUUUAAAUAGAAUACUUCCAGAAGUCCUCUGACAGCAUAAACCCAGAUUGCCUGUUUUCUUAUUUUUUUCUCAUGCUCUGCUGGUUUCCACUUGGAGCAUAUAGCUCCCGACACUGAUCAGUUUUCUUUUUGCUUAUUAUAGUUCUGUCUGUCCCAUCCUAUCCUGACAAAUUCUAGUUGUAACUUCCUAAAAUAAUUUUAUGAGCACAAAUGAAUAUUCAUCCACUGUUUGAAAAACACUCUCUGUGACAUUUUCCUUAGUGAUUUUCUUGAUCAGCACACUUGUUUAAACUUAAGAAAUAUUUUUCAUUCUUAAAACUUGUUUUGUAUAAACCAGUAUACUACAAUAAUCAUUGAAUUUGUCCACCUGUCCCCAGUUAGAGUACAAAUCACUUGAAGGAGGAGCCUGUAUAUUAUUCAUUUCUUUACAUGACUUGCAAUAUCUAAUAUAACACAUAGCACAUGGAUGAAUAUUUGUUGUGUUAAGCAAUUGUUUAUAUACAAUAUAUGGACAUAAACCUUACUGGAGAGGGAAAUGAAAGAAUAGGAGAUUUAGGAAAUCUUGAAGAGCCUUUGUGUUGUCAUACAAAUAUUUAUUGAAACUGUUCCUAUUAUGCAUAAUAAGACUGUCUCUUGACAAAGUUCUGCUUCUCUCUUGAGUAUGGAUCCUUAUCAACUCAAGUGUUUAAGAUACAUAAUUUUCUGUCUCUCUCACUGUCUAUAACUCUGUCAAAUAAAAAAAGUUACAUAAUUUUCUUUAUAUUCUACAAGUGCAUUUAGUUCCUUUUGUGCUUUAAUUUCAAUGGGACGACAGAUGCCUAAUCCCAGUUAACAUGGGAUUUCUGUACACUGUUUUCCUUGGAGUUGUAUCUAUUUCUGGUGAUCCUAAAUAGUGCUGUGACUGUGAGUGGAAUUGGCACUUGGUUAAGGGAGACCACUGCGAGACAAUUGUUUUUUUGUCCACAGCAUCUCAUCAGAUUCUCUGCUUUUCCUCCUAAGUCCAUGCCACCUUUUAGCGUCAGCUGUUUAUUCCGUUGUUCCCUCCCCCCAUGCCAGGUCACAGAAAUCUCUAGGAGACUGACCAGAUGGCUUCUUGCUUGGUUUGUUAGACUGCCCCCUCAUGGGAAUGGGUGCUCUGACAAUUCCCUUCUGAACUCUGAAGCGUCGAAUGUUAUUAUUUGAGAAUUUGGGGUCAGAGUGUGGUCUUAUUCUCCUCAAGGCCUCCAUAGCGAUUUACAGUGUUUAUUCUUAGGGUCCUUGAUGUAUGUCUCAGUACUAUAUAAAAAGAUGAGAGCCAAGAAGUGAGGUGUGGAACUUACACUUAAUGGUGGAAAUUCCUGAAUAGGAGUGCAGAAGGGUAGGUUAGGCUGGUACACUAUUCUGAAAGGACUUGAUUGAUAUCUCUAAACCAGUUUUCUCUGUCAAAUUUAAGGAAGAGAAAUAAGAGGUUUACUCAAGCUAUGCAAAACCAUGGAGCCAGAAUAAAUAGAGUGUCCCAGGAGAGUUAAAGGAACUGAAGGGAUCACUGGCUUGAAAGAGAAAUUUAUACUGGAAAUAUCCCCAGGACCCAGGUAACAAAGGAAAGGAAAGUGACUUGGAUACUCUAAGGACAGAUUAAAUAUUCUAAGAAAAGCAGUGGCUACCAGGAGAACCAAGCUUAAGAGGUGACCCAGAGCUCACUGGAUUCUUGGAAAGAAGUGAGGGUGCAUUUACAGCCAGUGUAUUGAAGAUUUAUUCAAUGUAAAAGAAGUUCACUUUGUAAUCAAAUAUUUGACAUAUAUGAACACUGAGACUAUAACUGAGAUUUUGUGUUUAGAAAAUCAUGACCAGAAAUCCCUUGUCCUUGUGAUUAAGUUUGGUUAUUCAUUAAAAACAAUUAUCUGUUGCACAUACUUAAUUGCACAUACAGUUUUUAAGUGCUGAGUGGUUGUCUGAAAGGAAACCACAACAGAUAGCACCUUGGAGCUCUCAUGCAGCCUGCAUGUGUUACUGAUCUCUAUGGCAUUCUUUUGCCUUUGUAAAUUAAUUUCUGCCUUUCUGAACCUCAUGGUAAGAUUUCAGAAGAGAUAUUGUACCCAGGUUUGGAUCUUGGUCAUGAUGAUGGUGAUUAAGUGCAAAAUACCCUGGAUUGAUGCUUAAGUAGGAAAUACUCCUGAUGGAGUGCUUUCUGGGAACCAGUCCAAUUUUUGGUGUACAACUUAAAACAUCUACCUGCUUUCUUAUUUGAACUUUUCAUUUAAAAAAAGAUAUUUUUAUUUUAUUUGAAAGGCGGAGAGGCAGGAAGAGGUCUUCCAAACACUGACUCACUUCUCAAAUGCUUGCAACAACCAGGGCAAGCCUCUGUAUAAACCAGGAGCCCACAACUCAAUGUGAGUUUCCUACAUGGCUGAGAGGGACCCAAGCACCUGAGCUGUCACCUGCUGCUUCCAGGAUGUACCAUAGCAGGAAGCUGAAUUGGAAGUGGAGGAGUCACGACAUGAACCAGGGAUUCUGAUACAGGAUGCAGAAUCGCCAAGUGGUGAUGAUUGUUGAGUUGAGAUAUGUCUACACUUGAAAGAGGCAUAUAAAUAUAAGGAAUGAACUCCAAGGGCAGGAUGGGGCACAGAAUGGGACCUGAACAAACAUUUCUCCAAAGAGACUACACAGAUAACCAGCAUUAUCAACAUCACUAAUCAACAUGGAAUUGCACAGCAAAACCACAAUGAAAUAUCACCUCACACCUGUCUGGAUGAUUAUUUCCAAAAAACCCAAAGACAGCAAGAAAUGAUGAGGAUGUGAAGAAACUGGAAUCCUCGCAUGAUGCUGGUAGAAAUGCAAAAUGGUACAGCUGCUAUGGAAAACAGGAAAGGAUUUAAAGGACUGUUUGUCUACACCAAAUUGCUGAAUAUUCUCAUAUUACUGGAUCUGCAUGGGGAAUGGGAGAUGUGUGGUUUGUCUUUUCUGACACUGUUCCCACCAUUCCUUUCCAGGAACAGGGUGGGGUUGUUCAGACCUUUGCUCACAAAUGCUCACUCUCCCAACUGCAUCCAUGAAUGGAGCACACUUCCACUUCCCUUGGUGGUGUGACCUGGUUUAUCUCCAAACAGGGAGAGAGAGAGAGAAACAGACAGAAAGAUCUUCCAUCCACUGGUUCAUUCCCCAGUUGUCUGGAACAGCUGAGAAAGGCCAAGCUGAAGUCGGAACUCAAUCCAGAUCUCCCAGUUGGGAGGAAGAUGCUCGGUACGUGAGCCAUCACCCGCUACCUUCCAAGGUAUACAUCAACGGGAACCUGGAAUCAGAAAUGGAGCUGAAUUCAAACCCAGAUAAAGAAACGUCUUUUGCUGAGGCUUCUCUCUGCACGUGGUUCUCUCAACAACAUCCACAGAGACUGAAGAGACACAGAUGACAACAAGAAAAGAGAUUCUUGGAGGAAACCAAGGAAACACAGUAAAGAAUGACCAGGCAAUACUCUUUGAAAAUUGGAGACCAUUUGCAGCUGCUCUCUGUUGAGGAAAGUGAAUAAUAGGGUGCCCUCAAGGAAUUUCAAAGGUAUCACUCAACAGAAACUUUUGUGUCUGAAGAAAACUGGAUCAUUUUAUCAUGGUGGCUCCAAUGGCCAGGGUUUGAAUCAGGCCAAAUCCAGGAGUCAGGAGCUUCUUCCGGGUCUCCCACAUGGAUGGCAGGGACCUAUGCACUUGGGUGAUCUGCUUUUUGGACCUGGAUCAGAAGUGGAGCAGCCAGGACUUGAACAGUGACAGGUCAAACUCUUUGUUAAGAGAUACAUAAACAACAGUGUUUGUCUGAAGGAGACCCCAUUUGAAGAGAAAUCAGAUGGCAUCCAGAUAAGCAAGGCUGAUUCAACCUAGAAAGAAAUUUUCUACGAUGCACUAAGCCAGCUUCCUGGACAUAGGAGAAGGAACUGUGAACUUCGUGCCAUUCCAUCAUUUCUGUGAGUUGAAAUGAUCUACCAUAUAAUCAUUGGCUUAGAAAAUGAAAACACACAGAAAGGAGAAGUGAGAUAAAGGGAGGGAGACAAAGAAAAAAAUAAGAAAGAAAAUGACCAGAAAGCCAUAUUAUUCUGCUGUUUCUCUUGUGUAUGUUGACUGACAAUAUUUUGUUUGUAGUAACAGAGAUAUUGGGGUCAAAGUUCACAAAAAGCCAGAACAUUUUCAGAUUAAAAGUUAGAAUUUUAAUUUUCAGUUGACAGUUUCUGUUUGAAAGAUUUUUAGAUUGGCAUGUUAUAUAAU